rnacentral:tRNA from 1 species
AGCUUAGUGGCCGAAUUAAGGUGUUAGAUUGUAAAUCUACUCAUGGAGCUAUCCCUAAGCUA